rnacentral:rRNA from 1 species
CUACGGGGGGCAGCAGUGGGGAAUAUUGGACAAUGGGGGAAACCCUGAUCCAGCAAUGCCGCGUGUGUGAAGAAGGCCUGCGGGUUGUAAAGCACUUUCGGUUGGGAGGACUGCUUCUAGCACUAAUAUUGUUGGAAGUUGACAUUACCUUCAGAAGAAGCACCGGCUAACUCCGUGCCAGCGGCCGCGGUAAUACGGAGGGUGCAAGCGUUAAUCGGAAUUACUGGGCGUAAAGCGCGCGUAGGCGGCUAGAUCAGUCGGGUGUGAAAGCCCCGGGCUUAACCUGGGAACUGCAUCCGAUACUGUCUAGCUUGAGUACAGGAGAGGAGAGUGGAAUUCCACAUGUAGCGGUGAAAUGCGUAGAUAUGUGGAGGAACACCAAUGGCGAAGGCAGCUCUCUGGCCUGAUACUGACGCUGAGGUGCGAAAGCGUGGGGAGCAAACAGGAUUAGAUACCCCAGUAGUC